AACGGUGGAUCUCUUGGCUCGUGCGUCGAUGGAGAACGCAGCCAGGUGCGAUAAGUAGUGUGAAUUGCAGAACUCAGUGAAUCAUCGAAUCUUUGAACGCAAAUGGCGCUCCUGGGCUUUCCCGGGAGCAUGUCUGUCUGAGUGUCGG
rnacentral:rRNA from 1 species